ensembl:lncRNA
CAUUUUGCUAAAAAAAAAAAAGUGUUAAUUUCCUCCACGUAUAGAGACUUUUGGGACACCCUGUAUAUUUGGCAGCAAAGAAAAAAACUGAUGUCUGAUUCUUCAGUUUGCAUUGACUAUCUGUAAGUUUUCAGGCUUAAAAGCAAGUGCUUAUGGUUUAAAGCAUGGUCUAGAUGCUACUGAAAACUCCUGUCUUAGAUACUUCUACUAAAGGAAACUCUUGCAACCUUGGAGUUGUGAAAUACAUGCAAGUGAUCUGCAUAAUGAACGGCCCUCUCAGAGAAUGAGCUUCAACAUGUGCAUAACCCAUCUCUGAAUACACAUAACUUUAACAAUAUAAAUAUUGAUGCAAUUUUUAGACUUAAUUUGCCAACUAUGAGUCCUUUUUUUGCUGACAAUUUUACCCCACCAUACACACUAACACUAGUUAUUCUGUGGCAUCAUGUAUAUAUUUAGUUUAGGAUGUAGUUGAAGCAUGCAUACCUCAGGGAAAGCUAGGAGGUUGUACAGUUAUCUCCCAUAGUAUAACUCUAAACUAUACAACCUACUACCUCAGCCUGGGGAGCAUGGAAGAACUUUGAGGGGAGCUAAGUAAAGGUCCAUGAGUCUACCAAGAGAAACAAUCUGAAUGUCACGGUGUAAUGUCAGACUGAAAGCUGGCACAAUCAUCACUGCAACCUGCUUACAAAAUACAUGCCACCAGCAAAACUACUCCAAUGCUAAGGCAAUCUGUUAUGAGAAAUGCUAAACCUGAUGUUCUCCAAACUUCAAAUGAGGCCGUAAAUCUGUGUUUCAGGCUGUCAUAAAGGUUACGGCAAAACCUUUAGUAAAGACAACACUGAAUUGGCAAAUGAGGCAGUUGUGAAGGCCCGACAGACAGAUACCUAUAGAUACAAGCUUGUGUGGAAAGUCACCACAAGUUCGGAUCUACGGGUUUGUGUCAGCAGGCAUGUCUCUCCGAGAAUAAUAAUUAAAAAAAAAAGACAAAGUAUAUCACUACAGUGCCAUUACUAAUUCAAUUAUUAUAUAUGCUUGAUCUAUGUCUGAUGUGUGAUCCAAAGUCUAGAACCUAUAGUUCUUAUUCAAGUUGCUAUACUAAGAAUAUUCACACAGAUAAAAACUGCAUUGUAUAAUGCUAAUAGACUUUUAUGCCAGCAGUAGCAUCCUCCAAAGUUCUAGCUUUUGAGAAAAAUCAAAAAGUUAAUAAUGUGACUACAGUAUUUUUUUACUGAGACCUCAAAGAAAGGAUUCCAAGAAGAUUGACACACAGAUAGCUUUAAAUAAUUAAUAGCAACAUUAAUUUUUUAAAAUAAAUUAUUCAAAUCCUGAAUAUUCCAAUACACCCAAAUACACUUCAAAUCUGUCUUACAAGCUGCAUGUGAGAAAGUGUUGAGGAAUUAUCAAGUAGUGUUUGUAGUUUGUUUUCUCCAAAGUCACGUAGAAUCAGAUAUAGUGGAAGAACCAUGCAGGUGAUCAAGUUCAUAACUUGAUCAACAAUCUAGUUCCUUUCUCCUCAUGUGAUUUCUUGCACAGGGUUCUAGAUAUUGUGUGGUGAUCUACAAAACCCAAUCUGAUGCUGGUUGGUGGGGCUGAAUUGUGGAAAAUUGCCAAAUGUUUUGACCAGAAGUAAAUAUGCCUUCAAAAAUAAUGAAAUUAAACUUUUUUUACUCUCAGGUGCACAUCACAGAUUUUUAUGAGAAAACUGGCUGGUUGUUUUCUUUACUGACAUCAAAGUUUUGGGUUUUUUUGUGAAAAAAAUAACGUUUGUAAAUCUAAAAACUAGACCUUUUUACUGAUGCAAUAAUGCACAAAACAUUAAACAUGUAAGAUUCAUAUUUAAAAAAAUAAAAUAAAAAUAAAUAAAUAAACAAAAGGUUCCUAAGACUUUGCACAAUACUGUACAGUAUAUAUAGUACAGAAGAUAAUGUCCAAAUGAAGGGCCAUGUGAAGGGUUUUCUCAGGCUGCCACACAACUACAUCCAUGUAUCUACAGUUUUAAAUACAGAAAAUGUCAGCUUUAGAACAUGGGUUGUCUGAAACCUUGGUUUAAUUUUAUACCAUAAUGUGCUUGUGGCUUUUAUUAAUUUUUUUUUAACACAUACAAAGCAUCAUUUAGAACUUCCUCUACUUCGCUUACUUCAUGUGGCAAGCAGACUAUGGAUGUAUUUCCAGUCCAGCUGUAGCUGUCUCAGUUAAUCUCAUCCUUAGAAAACCAGACCACCUGAUUUUACAACAUGGAGAACCCACUUGUUUUACCUUUACAAUCAUAGAGCCACAGCCCCCUCGUCUAUGGGUGAUCUAUUGGCUAUGUUUUCAAUUGCAUGUCUAAUAGCUUCAAGUUGUUGAAAAAAAACCCUUCACUGUCACAUGACUGGUGCUGCAAAGCCUGUGUCCAAUUUCCUAGUUUGCAUCCUUAGCACUUUUACAUUACAAAGUACAUUUGUAAACUUAAUUUACUUUUUUUUUAAUUAAUUAAUGUUUUUUCUCCAUUUUUUAACCUUAAUUUGUAUUUUUUCUAAGCCACAUGUGGAUGUAUCCUACAAAUAAAGUUCAUUUUGACUUAAAUAGUUUAAUAUUUUCUAUUUUGUUUUGUUAUUGCAAGCUUUAUGCAGCUCAUUUGCAUAUUUGACUGUUGAUAGCCACUCAUGCUUUUACAUUUGUUUGCAUAUUCUUAAAAUAUAUUUAAAAUAUCCAUAAAUAUUCACUUAUUCAUGUUUUUAAUUGUUUACAUUCAACUGGUCUGCUCAUUCUACUUCUCCUAUACACAGAAGUGUUUCACUGGCAAGGAUGAGUACUAACUCUUUUAAACGACUCAGUUUGCUUUUGUAUCUUACAAACAUACACAUGCAUGAAUCAUAAGUACAGAGAGUCUGUAUUUCACUCUGGAUGUGGACUGAAGGCCACUUGCAUGUGGCUGUGCAAAGUGCAGUUAACAGUUGCUACAUGAAUAGUAAUAGCGUACGACUGUUUGUAAGAGAAAUAUGGUGAAAUUACACUCAUCUAAGUGUAAUGUACGUCAACAUGAUAUUCAAGAUAUUCACUUACUGUUUAGACCCAAAUAACAUUUUGACCACACCCUAUAUUCACAUAACAAUACAAGCUUUUAUUUUAAAACAUAAUUUUCCUGAAAUGUCUGUAAAGUUUCACAAUGGAGCCAUCAUAUCUUUGGUUAAAAAUAACGCUAAUUUUUCUAAAGGAAAGGUAUCACAGAAAAAGGAGCACAGCAGAACAACUAGCUCGGAGAAAUCAUACAGAGAGCUCGAUAAAAAACAAACAAACAAACAAAAAAACAAGGGUGAAACCAGUAUGGAAUUUUGUGAAUAACGAGUAAAGCAAAAGGUCGGGUCUGGCUGAGGCUGGCAAGUGUUUGGAAUUUCCCCUGCAGUAUCUGAUCUCCCAAGGAUUUACAAAAAAAAUCAAAACAAAACCACCAGAAAGGAUUAUUGAAAAAAGACAAGGCAUUAAUGGGGGGGGGGGGGGGGGUUUACAAAAUAAUGAUUUAUAAGUAAAAACCAUAAAGUGGGAGUGAAGCGUUAAAAGAUUAUCAAUGCAUUUUACUCAGCAUGCAAAAUAAUCUUACAAAGCACCAAUAAAUAAAAUUACAGUAGAAAAAAAACUACAUAGAAAAACAGUAAUAUGCCAACUAUUUCUCUGAUUAUUCUGAACAUAUUUUUGAUACAUACACUGAUGAUACAAUACAGUAUCAU